rnacentral:rRNA from 1 species
CAUCGGUGGGAUACUACCCUGGCUGUAUUGACCUUCUAACCCGCCGCCCUUAUCGGGCGGGGAGACAGUGUCAGGUGGGCAGUUUGACUGGGGCGGUCGCCUCCUAAAAGGUAACGGAGGCGCCCAAAGGUUCCCUCAGAAUGGUUGGAAAUCAUUCGCAGAGUGUAAAGGCACAAGGGAGCUUGACUGCGAGACCUACCAGUCGAGCAGGGACGAAAGUCGGGCUUAGUGAUCCGGUGGUUCCGCAUGGAAGGGCCAUCGCUCAACGGAUAAAAGCUACCCCGGGGAUAACAGGCUUAUCUCCCCCAAGAGUCCACAUCGACGGGGAGGUUUGGCACCUCGAUGUCGGCUCAUCGCAUCCUGGGGCUGUAGUCGGUCCCAAGGGUUGGGCU